UGAUUGAUGAUGCCUUGUAGAUGGUUUUGC
rnacentral:piRNA from 1 species